UGUAGGCCCACUGAGCCCAACACAUGGUUGACCUUUCGACUCAUACGCGGCCCAGUUUAAGCCUUGAAAUUUUGAGCGGCCACUUUCGUCUCCAGAGAAACACCUUUUCGCUGCUCCCAAUUUCUGCAGAAGACGCAAAGCUUCUUCGUUUCAGCUUCUCCACCUUCCGUAUCAUUGGUCUUCAAGAAAUUUGAGAAAUGGGUGGACUGCCAGCGGAAUAUACUUCCUCUGCCUUGGUUUUGAAAGGGUCGCAGCCAAAUCAAGGGUCAGCAGUCACUACUCCUGCCCUGGACACAAAGCCGAAGAAGAAGAUAUGCUGUGCUUGCCCGGAUACUAAGAAGCUGCGAGAUGAAUGCAUUGUGGAGCAUGGUCAAGACGCUUGCACAAAAUGGAUCGAUGCUCAUCUCAAGUGCCUACGUGCAGAAGGCUUCAAUGUUUGAAGUUGCCGGAGAUGGUUAAGAUAAUAAGUUGAAGGCUACAUGAACAGUUUUGAAAGGAAACCAUUUAUUUUAGGUUUAGACAUACAACAUAAUAAUAUUUGAACGUUGAAGAAUAAUACAAGGAGAGCUUCUUUAUUUGACUUGUAUUUUACGUAAUUUUGUUGAGAUUUACAGUUACGCCCAUCAAAAUUUAUAAAGUUACAAUA